AAAACAUGAGGAAAGAGUUCCCAGAGAGAGAAGACAAAGGCAGUCGUUGUUGCAGCAGAAGCCCAAGGCUGAAGAUUGAAGAACUGAAUAUGUAACUUUGUAAGGGACCUGGAGACAAGGAAAAUCUUGUCAGAUUCAACCCAGUUCCACAAGGACAAAAGCACACUGUGUACAGAAACUUGGUAAUUUAUUUGAAGAUCAUUUACUUU
rnacentral:lncRNA from 13 species